GACGAACGCUGGCGGCGUGCUUAACACAUGCAAGUCGAACGGAAAGGCCCUGCUUUUGUGGGGUGCUCGAGUGGCGAACGGGUGAGUAACACGUGAGUAACCUGCCCUUGACUUUGGGAUAACUUCAGGAAACUGGGGCUAAUACCGGAUAGGAGCUCCUGCUGCAUGGUGGGGGUUGGAAAGUUUCGGCGGUUGGGGAUGGACUCGCGGCUUAUCAGCUUGUUGGUGGGGUAGUGGCUUACCAAGGCUUUGACGGGUAGCCGGCCUGAGAGGGUGACCGCCCACAUUGGGACUGAGAUACGGCCCAGACUCCUACGGGAGGCAGCAGUGGGGAAUAUUGCACAAUUGGCGGAAGCCUGAUGCAGCAACGCCGCGUGCGGGAUGACGGCCUUCGGGUUGUAAACCGCUUUCGCCUGUGACGAAGCGUGAGUGACGGUAAUGGGUAAAGAAGCACCGGCUAACUACGUG
rnacentral:rRNA from 1 species